rnacentral:rRNA from 1 species
CCUACGGGUCGCACCAGUGGGGAAUAUUGCACAAUGGGCGCAAGCCUGAUGCAGCCAUGCCGCGUGUAUGAAGAAGGCCUUCGGGCUGUAAAGUACUUUCAGCGGGGAGGAAGGCGAUAGGUUAAUAACCUUGUCGAUUGACGUUACCCGCAGAAGAAGCACCGGCUAACUCCGUGCCAGCAGCCGCGGUAAUACGGAGGGUGCAAGCGUUAAUCGGAAUUACUGGGCGUAAAGCGCACGCAGGCGGUCUGUCAAGUCGGAUGUGAAAUCCCCGGGCUCAACCUGGGAACUGCAUUCGAAGCUGGCAGGCUAGAGUCUUGUAGAGGGGGGUAGAAUUCCAGGUGUAGCGGUGAAAUGCGUAGAGAUCUGGAGGAAUACCGGUGGCGAAGGCGGCCCCCUGGACAAAGACUGACGCUCAGGUGCGAAAGCGUGGGGAGCAAACAGGAUUAGAUACCCCUGUAGUC